GAGCGAUGCAGCCUGAACUGACAGCAAAUUUAAAUUACUGAGCCUGCUUUUUUUUCCUCCUUCCUUUUUUUUUUUAUUAUUAUUAUUUUUUCUACUCUGCGACAAACUGAAAAGAUUCUAGCACACGUUAAUUUAACCACCCUGCUUCUUUUUCUAUUUUUUUCCUCCCUUCUGCUUCCAGGAUAAUUAAAAGAGAAACCUGUAAAGGCAACAUUCCUUCAAGCGAGUUGGUGCCGCAACGUGCUGGUCUGCGGAUUUAAAGAUCUAAAGGCAUUAGCCAAUUGAUCAGAUAUUCAGCUGUUUGCAAUUGAAUAACAAGGACUAGGUAA